GCCCCUGUAGCUUAGUGGUUGUGAUUCGACUUCACGUAAAGCGCUGCCCUUCUAAGGCAGAGGUCCGCGGUUCGAUCCCGUGCAGGGGUG
rnacentral:tRNA from 2 species